GUCGCGAGAGCGGGCCCGGAAGAGCCGCGCCACCUCUCUCAGGGCGAAUGCGGCGUCGCCUCGGUGGAGGUGGCGGGGCGUGUGGCGAGGGGCGUUUUUAGUUUUGAUGAUCGAAUAUCUAACAUGCUAGAAUCCAUACUGGUUUGAAGAGGUUUGCUUCAGUCAGGUUUGCUCAGCGACUGCACCUCAGGUCCAGAAAUGAAAUGCUCGGGUAUUCUUUGCGCGACAAGAGGUCGGGGCGUCCCCCCGAAACUCAGAUGAGUCUUCACUAGAUCCAAAGAUCUAUGCUGUAGGUCUUCAGCGGGAAGAUCUUUCCCAAGCGCCCACACUGGGAUGUGAAUGAGUGAUCGGAGCACAACCUAUUUGUCUUGAGCUGCCUGUAUUUUCUCCCUCUGAGUUACAAGUUGAAGAGCCAGCGUGUUCUUGUUAAGAGCUUGUUCAGAGUGGGAACACUGGUAGCUCCCGGAGCCCUGCUGACCAUUAUCUUCGCAUUCAGGAAUAUGGCAGCAUUAUACACCUCUUUCCUCUUGGAAAUUAGGUAUUCCAGGUGGUUUGCUGUGGACAGUGACAUGUUUGCAACUUGACCAGAUUUAUUUAUGGCCUCUGGAAAGAUGUACUACUUCUAGUGCUGACAGAGCUAAUCAAUGCCUCAGUGAAUUUGUCUACAUUGCAAAGUGAUACCUGGAGGACUUUCUGAGGCACAGACUUCCAAGUCAGAAUUUUUGAUGAUGUUCUUGAAGAAAAUAAAAGAGGGACUGUUCCAUCGGUCACGGAAACUGAGCAGCUGGGCACUUUCUUCCCUUCUUCAUCAUUGCCAAGGAAAUAAAAAGACCAAGAUUUUAAGUACACUGCACGAAGCUAUUCUUUCUGGCUCUGGAUUCAGCUCAAGCCCACUCCAUUCUUGAGCAGAAGAAUGUCAGGUCCUGCCUUUGAGGUGCUUCUCUUGCCACAGAUAGGGUGACAUGACCAUGUUCUUACCAGAAACUAAGACAAAUUUGACCUCAGCAUGUGGUAUUUACAGAAUUUUAUCCAAAUCUCUUCUUGUUAUCACUCCACUACUGAUCUGUGCCUCUGUUGUAGUAACUGGGAUUCAAUCUUGUUAACAAUUUUGAUGAAAUCACUUCUCCCUCCUGCUUUUCUGGGUGUUCCUCUUUGUUUCCUGUCCUUUGUAGCCUUUAUUUAUGGCUCUCCCUUAAUCGUUUUGCUUUCUUUGGUAAUCAUAGCCCAAAUCUCUCCAGGAGCCAUGCUUUCCCCACUUGCAGGGAUGAAAUACAAGACCCAGUUUUAAGUAAUUUAUGCUCACUGGCUCUUGUCAUUGGUUAUAGGCUAGGCAUGCACUUCGAGCAGGUUCUGUGAGAGCGAGAAGGAGAUGCCUUUUGUAGACUAUCAGACAACAGCUGCUCUAGUUUUUGCUAAAGUCUUAGGCUAAGGUGUAAGAAGCUGUGAGGUAGUCCAAAGGUCUUAUGGACCAUGAAGGGUGUCUGUGUUAAAAAAUUAAGCUAAUGUGCAGAGGAGACCAGAGCUAAGUAGAGGUGGCAUAUGGAACAUAUCUGGUGACAUAAUGUGAGACCUUUCAAGCAGCUGCAUCUUAAGCCAGUUCUGAGUCACCUGAUUCUUUACUUCACUUGAACAAGUUUGUAUUGGAUUUUCUGUAGCUUAAUUUUUGUUGUUGUUGUUGUUUUAAGUGAUUGGGAGUUUCAGUGGUAGGUUUGGCCACUUUCUGACAGCUUUCUUGAUAUCAUCUGGGGUCUACCUCUCUAUCUCCAUCCACCUUCAUACUUUCUGUGCUGGGUUUACCCUCUGUUGGGACAUGCUGAUACUUUAUAUUCAGUCCUGAUACUCUUUUAUGGUCUGGAAGAAAUUCCAAGAUAUAGCAACUGUAUUUUCCCACUUGAGUGUUUUAGGAAAACUUAAUGACUCAAAUAAACCAUCUCUUCACUAACUGAAAGUGGGGAGGCUUCAAGGAAUUUCAUGUAACUGACCUGUGGAUAAAGAAAUAUAUUAAGGUCAGUGGCUCAUUACUUUUUCUUUUUCUG